rnacentral:rRNA from 1 species
GUAGGGUGCGAGCGUUAAUCGGAAUUACUGGGCGUAAAGCGUGCGCAGGCGGUUAUGUAAGACAGAUGUGAAAUCCCCGGGCUCAACCUGGGAACUGCAUUAGUGACUGCAUAGCUGGAGUACGGCAGAGGGGGAUGGAAUUCCGCGUGUAGCAGUGAAAUGCGUAGAUAUGCGGAGGAACACCGAUGGCGAAGGCAAUCCCCUGGGCCUGUACUGACGCUCAUGCACGAAAGCGUGGGGAGCAAACAGGAUUAGAUACCCUGGUAGUCCACGCCCUAAACGAUGUCAACUGGUUGUUGGGUCUUCACUGACUCAGUAACGAAGUAACGCGUGAAGUUGACCGCCUGGGGAGUACGGCCGCAAGGUUG